rnacentral:rRNA from 1 species
AGGGUUUGAUCAUGGCUCAGGAUGAACGCUGGCGGCGUGCUUAACACAUGCAAGUCGAACGAUGAAGCCCAGCUUGCUGGGCGGAUUAGUGGCGAACGGGUGAGUAACACGUGAGUAACCUGCCCUUGACUCUGGGAUAAGCCCGGGAAACUGGGUCUAAUACCGGAUAGGAGCGCCUGUCGCAUGACGGGUGCUGGAAAGAUUUUUCGGUCAUGGAUGGACUCGCGGCCUAUCAGCUUGUUGGUGAGGUAAUGGCUCACCAAGGCGACGACGGGUAGCCGGCCUGAGAGGGUGACCGGCCACACUGGGACUGAGACACGGCCCAGACUCCUACGGGAGGCAGCAGUGGGGAAUAUUGCACAAUGGGCGGAAGCCUGAUGCAGCGACGCCGCGUGAGGGAUGACGGCCUUUGGGUUGUAAACCUCUUUCAGUAGGGAAGAAGCGAAAGUGACGGUACCUGCAGAAGAAGCACCGGCUAACUACGUGCCAGCCGCCGCGGUAAUAC